UGUGUAUUUACCUUGUUGUAUAUACCUCGUUGUGAAAUACUGGAAAAGAGAUGUACUAGGUUCGUGCUGUCCUGUCUCCAUAACGCUUAGUAGGCCUAUGUGUGUGUGUGUGUGUGUGUGUGUUUAAGGUUAGAUUAGGUUAGGCAAAGUUAGGUUAGGCAAGGUUAGAUUAGGUUAGGCAAGGUUAGAUUAGGUGAGGUAAGGUUAGAUUAGGUGAGGUAAGGUUAGUUUAGGUUAGGCAUGGUUAAUCAACCUUCCAGCAGCUAGUCGUAAUGUGUUAAAAAGCUUUGUGAGACUGUACAGGGCAACGCUUACUGGUCUGAACAUGCGUUGUUCAUGAGAGACUAGUGUUUGUAAACUAAAGCGCCAGGUUUUGACGAUGGGACACCAAAUAACACAACACCGAGUGCCUUCAAUACCAUGGCAUGCUCGCAAACGAAUGUGGAAUAUCAAAUUUGAGGCAGUGAAUAAUCAUUUUUUGGGCAAAGUUAAAUGAUUUAUCUCUUUGAUAUAUUGAUUUUUUGAGUCUAACAUAAAAAAAUAACCUAGUGUUUUAAUGUUGAUGAUCUAAGUAUGAAAUCUCUUCACCGAAGAUAUUUCAUACCCCGAAUUUUUUUCAUACAACACCGGGCGCCCCGUGUAGGGAGAUGUUUUUUUCUGAGAGGCGGAAAAAAGUAGCGAUUAUUCCUAGUUUGGUUACAAAAGUAACGAAGAUACUGAUAUAUAUUUAAUUAAGUAGCGGAUGGCCGAUAACCCAAUUUUAUUAUCAGCAAUAAAGUAUCGCGAUAACUUACCACGAUAACGCCCAGCUAUGAGAUUAUGUUAGGUAAGGUUAGAUUAGGUUAGGGAAGGUUAGGUAAGGUUAGAUUAGGUUAGGGAAGGUUAGGUAAGGUUAGAUUAGGUUAGGGAAGGUUAGGUAAGGUUAGAUUAGGUUAGGGAAGGUUAGGUAAGGUUAGAUUAGGUUAGGGAAGGUUAGGUAAGGUUAGAUUAGGUUAGGGAAGGUUAGGUAAGGUUAGAUUAGGUUAGGGAAGGUUAGGUAAGGUUAGAUUAGGUUAGGGAAGGUUAGGUAAGGUUAGAUUAGGUUAGGGAAGGUUAGGUAAGGUUAGAUUAGGUUAGGGAAGGUUAGAUUAGGUUAGGGAAGGUUAGGUAAGGUUAGAUUAGGUUAGGGAAGGUUAGGUAAGGUUAGAUUAGGUUAGGGAAGGUUAGAUUAGGUUAGGGAAGGUUAGGUAAGGUUAGAUUAGGUGAGGUAAGGAAAACCGAGGUUUGACUGUAUUUUUAUUUUAUUUUAUUUUCUCUUUUUUUGUGUGUUUCUCUCUCUCUCUCUCUCUCUCUCUCUCUCUCUCUCUCUCUCUCUCUCUCUCUCUCUCUCUCUCUGUAAUUACCUUUCUGUCUACCUAUUUCUGGUUUUAUUUUAUUUUAUCUUUCUC